CAGAGAAAUCUCAGAAAUAUGCAGAAAAGGUACAAAAGGAAAUUCAUGAUGCUGGGUUCUAUGUGGAUGCCGACUUAACAGACAGGAAGAUCGAUAAAAAGGUGCGUGAAGCUCAGCUUGCGCAGUACAACUA